ensembl:lncRNA
AUUUAAGGGCUGGCUGCCACUGAGGAAGGGUCUCCUUCUGGAGAUUGCUCUUUGUAGAGUUUCUUGUGAGCCUACAACACCACCUGGGCUAGCCUGUACCAAGAGUUGCUCUGCCAAAAAUUCAUACGUAUUGAGUGAGCCUCAUGGUAUCUCUGCAGCAGAGAGACAAAUGAUCAUGCAUAAAUAAAGUGGUUAACCUCUCUAAUGUGAUCCAUGCAUGAACAGAGAAGCCAUUAGUAGCUCAUGUCCCAAGCAAGCAGUGGAUUUCUACAUGUUGAAUUGGUGCUUCCAGUGAUAUUUAACAUGCAUGUGCUGCUGUUGGUUAAUGGGGAUUAUGGAUUCAAAGAACCUCUGUUUCUGCUUUUGAAAAGGAAAUAAUACUCUUUGGUACCUCUGGAUUCCUCCAUUUUAACGGAUGAAGCAAAAAUACAGCUGUAGCAAGUGAACAAAUGUAUCUAUAUGCAAGGGCUGCACUGGAAGUAAUGCCUCCUAUUUCGUGAUGUUGGUCUGUGAAAUCAGAGGUGUAUAUAGGUGGUAUGGCAGUAGAGACUGAACAUUCCCACUAUUCAUAGAUUAAGCCAAUUUCAAAGUUUAAAAUAGUACUGAGCUACGUUUACAUAUUGCACACACACACACACACCACACACACACACACACACACACACACAAAAAGUUGUCAGUGGUUAGUUCUUAUAAGUUUUAAGUUUUUACUGUGUAUAUUUACGACUAAUUUAGAGUAUAGUACCACAGAGAUGAUGCUGGGUAGUGAGGACUGACAGCUGAGGUCCUUGAUAUUCCAGAGGUCAAGGUGAGCAGGCUUUAGACUUCUCCAUGAGGACAGGCAGAAGAGGAGCAAGUUGUUUGUUUUGUUUUCCCCAUCCCUCCUCACUGAAGUGUAGUGUUUUUAUAUUGCUUGUGACCCAUCCAAAUGGAAGACUUUAUCUACUCCCAGUGCAGCUUAUCUUGUGUAUGAUUUUGCUAGUUGUCCUUCUUGUGCAUUCAGCAAGAUGUCCUGCUCAUCUGCAGUCUCUUGUGCUCUUUAUUCUUGAAUUGCAAAUUGCUAUAUUGUUGUCUGUGUUCUUCUGUGAUGGCUGAGUGCAGCUAUACAAGUUCUUGUUUGCCUUCUUUGGAGGUCACAGUGCUCACAUAUUUAUGCAAAAUGCUUUUGUAGUGUGCCUGGACAUGCAAUCACAUUAUUUCAAAAUACAUUCAUUAAAAUAUUUUAGUAUGCUUAUAUUUGGGUUCAAGGCAAGCUAAUAUUCUUUCAGUCUUGCUUCAUGCAGUUCCCAAGUAUAGGCAUUAUAGACAUCUUCUGCACAGCUGUAAAAAUAGGCUGCUAUUGGACAGACAUUUACUGCUGAUAAGGAAAAGUUAUUGUGUGGGCAUCUGCAUUCAUUUCAUCUGUGAACAGCUGCAGAGCUUAUUUACCAGCUUAGUAGCCACAUGUUUUACCCUUAAUAAAUGAUCUGAAUAACAGUACAACACAGGAAUCGAUACUGCAAUACUGAUCCCUUGUCCUUAAUGCUGCUGUGUUUACAGAAUGGUAGUUCAUGAUGGCUGAUGAUCCUGAGUAAAGUAAUGAUGAUACGCAAGCAAUUGGUGAACAAUAUACUUUGUCUUUGUAAGCGGUAGUAACAGUAUAGGUAGGAAGAAAAAACAAAUAAACAAAAAACACCAUAAGCUCUGUCCUGCAUAUAGAACUUUCUUCACAAAUAUGAAGUCUGACCUACUAAAUCUUUAAUGUAAUUUCUCCCAUUUUGGGGUUAGGUUGACACAAAGCAUCUUUGUAUCCAGCAUAUCUAAC